rnacentral:rRNA from 1 species
GAUGAACGCUAGCGGCAGGCUUAAUACAUGCAAGUCGAACGGUGUCUUCGGACAUAGUGGCGCACGGGUGCGUAACACGUAUGCAACCUACCUUACAUUGGGGGAUAGCCUUUCGAAAGGGAGAUUGAUACCGCAUAAGACAGUAGCUGGGCAUCCAGCAGCUGUUAAAGAUUUAUCGAUGUAAGCUGGGCAUGCGUCCAAUUAGCUAGUUGGUGAGGUAACGGCUCACCAAGGCAAUGAUUGGUAGGGGAACUGAGAGGUCAAUCCCCCACACUGGCACUGAGAUACGGGCCAGACUCCUACGGGAGGCAGCAGUAGGGAAUAUUGGGCAAUGGACGCAAGUCUGACCCAGCCAUGCCGCGUGCAGGAUGAAGGCGUUAUGCGUUGUAAACUGCUUUUAUACAGGAAGAAACGACUCUUGCGAGAGGCGUUGACGGUACUGUAUGAAUAAGCACCGGCUAACUCCGUGCCAGCAGCCGCCGUAAAAC